rnacentral:snRNA from 1 species
UUUUUUGUGCCGUGGCAGUAUCGUAGCCAAUGAGGUUUAUCUGAGGCACGAUUAUUGCUGUUUUUUAAUCUCUAUUCCUUGCUGUGGAGGUAAAGGGAAGUGGAAAACAUUUGAGUCUGUAUCUUUAGACACAUAACUGAAAUUUGUGUCUGUUUGGUUUCUAA